rnacentral:snoRNA from 7 species
CCGCAAGGCUUCCAGCAUGGUGGGGCCUGCCGUGGCCCCAUCCAUUCCUGCAGCGCUUGCCAGAGCAGCCCUGGGGUGGUUUGAGGCCUCUUUCUGUCUCUCAGGGGGAGGCUAUAGAAACCCCAUACACGC